rnacentral:other from 1 species
GGAACCCUGCAGUGUUCGAUCUUAAUCGGAGUAUCUGUCCUUUACUCUUUAGAAAUCGGGAGCUGAAACCUUGAAGGUCGCUGUCCAGCCGUCAACCGGAAGGCAAAAGCUGACAAGGAAGCGCCCACCUUAGACACAAAAGGCUUAAGAACUCCCCCUUAACCGGCACACGUGGGGCACUU